GAACGAGAAAGUGGAGCAAUCCAUGAGUAAAGUGGCGACCGGGUGAGUAACACGUGACUAACCUACCUCCGAGUGGGGAAUAACUCCGGGAAACCGGGGCUAAUACCGCAUAACAUCGCAAGAUCAAAGCAGCAAUGCGCUUGGAGAGGGGGUCGCGGCUGAUUAGCUAGUUGGCGGGGUAACGGCCCACCAAGGCGAAGAUCGGUAUCCGGCCUGAGAGGGCGCACGGACACACUGGAACUGAAACACGGUCCAGACUCCUACGGGAGGCAGCAGUGGGGAAUUUUGCGCAAUGGGGGAAACCCUGACGCAGCAACGCCGCGUGGAGGAUGAAGCCCUUUGGGGCGUANACUCCUUUCGACCAAGACGAUAAUGACGGUACUGGUGGAAGAAGCACCGGCUAACUCUGUG
rnacentral:rRNA from 1 species